rnacentral:snoRNA from 1 species
GUUCACUCAAGUUGAGGUCCUGUGCUGGCCAUUUAUGGUUUAUGUGUGGUGUUCCGCACCACCCACCGCUAACGCUUACACCACUCGGUCUUGCUUCGCAAGACUUCCGGUUCGCUUCGGGCACAUUA